GGCCUGGUAGCUCGGCCGGUAGAGCAGAGGAUUGAAAAUCCUUGUGUCGGUGGUUCGAUUCCGCCCCGGGCCACCA
rnacentral:tRNA from 1 species